rnacentral:misc_RNA from 1 species
GAGUUCAUGCCCCUCGGGGUAGAUCUCCCACCCUUGUGUAUCAUUAUCGAAUGUUGCUUUGGCGGGCCGCGCUUCAGCGCCUGGAUUCGCGUCCAGCGUGCCCGCCAGAGGACCACAACUCUUGUCUUUAGUGAUGUCUAAGUACUAUAUAAUAGUUAAAACUUUCAACAACGGAACUCUUGGUUCU